rnacentral:rRNA from 1 species
GGACUACACGGGUAUCUAAUCCUGUUCGCUCCCCACGCUUUCGCUCCUCAGCGUCAGGUCAGGCCCAGAGAACCGCCUUCGCCACCGGUGUUCCUCCCGAUAUCUGCGCAUUUCACCGCUACACCGGGAAUUCCAUUCUCCCCUACCUGCCUCUAGUCUGCCCGUAUCCACUGCAAGCCAGGGGUUAAGCCCCAGGUUUUCACAGCAGACGUAACAGACCGCCUACGAGCUCUUUACGCCCAAUAAUUCCGGACAACGCUUGCGCCCUACGUAUUACCGCGGCGGCUGGCAC